UCUUGCUCAACCCAUCAUCGUGGCAUCAACCUGCCCCACACCUCCGCCACCAACUCUAAUAACAACCAUCACGGACCCCACCAACGGCACUGAACCCACAACUAUCAACUUUUAUCAUGUUAUUAAAGUUUGUGUUCGGGCUGGUGGUGGUGGUGGUGCUGGCAGACGCUCGCUCAAGACCCUUCUCACCCGUCAGGAAACCCAUUGAAGACGCGGUUAGCUACACCGAGAACGUCACCGACGACGCGAAGUCUCUCAUAAAAAAGAUAGGCAAUUCUUUUAGCGGCAAGUCAUCUACCACUAGAGAUGAAAGGAGUGCCUAUCAAUCAGGCCGUUCAAAAAGAUCAGCGUUGAACGUUUCGGGCAAGUCAAAACGUUUGGCUUUCGUAGACAUCAGCUCAAAGACAAAGGUCCAGGUAUACGACGACCAAGACACGGAGGAGGCCUGUGAAAACUGGUGUCUGAACAACCAGGGAACGUUCGACUGCUGCUCCUCUUCCUACCUGUAAAGUGGGGAGGUUGUGAGGGUGCAGACGAUAAUUCACGGCAGCAGUGGUAAAUGGUUCUUUUUCUAGGGUUACCGUCGUCCACCAGCAGCCUCGUCCAUCCAGCGGCAGUUUCCCAUUUGUACAUUUGCUAAUAUGACAUGAAGAAAAGCAUAUUGUAUCUAAUUGUUAGUCAUCUGCAUAAAAUUUUAUAUUACCAUGUUUCAUUACUCCUGGUAGAUCUUUCAUAUAAAUAAAGAGUAAAAGUGGUCCAAGAAUAGUUCAGUGGAAUACCACUGACUACUGAGUUACAAAUGUAGAUAAACUAUUUUGAAACUUACAACACAAUGUUACUUUGUAAUUAACAAAUUCGUCCAACAUCAAAGCAUUUUAGCUUCAACAAUAAUUUAUAAUGUGACUAUCAAAUGCCUUUAUAAACUGAAUAUAAAUUAUA